CUGUUGUAUUAAAGGACAGGUUAGUACUCCCUUGACAAGGAUGGAAAAGGCCCUUGGGCCUGACAACACUCAUACAAUUAAGGCAUUGCCACCUAUUUUGUGGCAUCAAAUUUAACCCCUAA
ensembl:snRNA